rnacentral:ncRNA from 1 species
AUAAAAUUUUUAUGUUUUAAAAAAUUUAUUAUAAAUUUAUUUUACAUAUAAAUUUUAGUAUAUAAUUUUAAUUAUUUUAAUAAUAAUUAUUAAAAAUUAUAGUAAUUAAAAUUAAAAAUUUAAGAAAUUGAGAUUUAGUAAUAUAUAAAUUAAUAACUAAUUUUGUGCCAGCAGUUGCGGUUACACAAAAAUUAAAUUAAAUUAUUUCAGUAUUUAAUUAAUAAGAUAUAAUUAAAAUAAAUAUUAAAUUAUUAGGUAAAAUUUUAAUUUAAUUAAAUUUUAAGUUAAUUUUAUGAUUUGGGAAAUUUAAAAAUAAACUAGGAUUAGAUACCCUAUUAUUAAAAAAUUUAAUUUGUAAUACUAAAAUAGUAGAUAAAAAAUAUUGAAACUUAAAUAAUAUGGCGGUAUUUUAGUUCAUUUAGAGGAAUCUGUCUAAUAAUUGAUAGUCCACGAAUAAAUUUACUUAAUUUAGGAUUUUAUAUAUCGUUGUUAAAAAAAUAUUUUAUAAUAAAAAUAAUAUUUAAAAAUUUUUAAAAUAAAUUAAUUCAGAUCAAGAUAUAGAUUAUAAUUAAGAAUAUGAUGGAUUACAAUAAAUUAAUUUAAAUGAAAAAUUGAUUUUAAGAUUAAUUUGAAGGUGGAUUUAAAUGUAAUUUUAAUUAGUUUAUUAAAAUGAUUAAAAAUUAAAGUAUGUACAUAUUGCCCGUCACUUUCAUUUAAAAAUUGAAAUAAGUCGUAACAAAGUAGAGGUACUGGAAAGUGUUUCUAGAAUGAA